rnacentral:rRNA from 1 species
UAGCUAGUUGGUGAGGUAAAGGCUUACCAAGGCGACGAUCUGUAGCGGGUCUGAGAGGAUGAUCCGCCACACUGGAACUGAGACACGGUCCAGACUCCUACGGGAGGCAGCAGUGGGGAAUUUUGGACAAUGGGGGCAACCCUGAUCCAGCCAUGCCGCGUGAGUGAAGAAGGCCUUCGGGUUGUAAAGCUCUUUCGGCCGGGAAGAAAUCGCAUGGGCCAAUACCCUGUGUGGAUGACGGUACCGGAAUAAGAAGCACCGGCUAACUACGUGCCAGCAGCCGCGGUAAUACGUAGGGUGCGAGCGUUAAUCGGAAUUACUGGGCGUAAAGCGUGCGCAGGCGGUUUUGUAAGACUGGCGUGAAAUCCCCGGGCUUAACCUGGGAACUGCGUUUGUGACUGCAAGGCUAGAGUACGGCAGAGGGGGGUGGAAUUCCACGUGUAGCAGUGAAAUGCGUAGAGAUGUGGAGGAACACCAAUGGCGAAGGCAGCCCCCUGGGUCGAUACUGACGCUCAUGCACGAAAGCGUGGGUAGCAAACAGGAUUAGAUACCCUGGUAGUCCACGCCCUAAACUAUGUCAACUAGGUGUUGGGUGGGUAAAACCAUUUAGUACCGUAGCUAACGCGUGAAGUUGACCGCCUGGGGAGUACGGCCGCAAGGUUAAAACUCAAAGGAAUUGACGGGGACCCGCACAAGCGGUGGAUGAUGUGGAUUAAUUCGAUGCAACGCGAAAAACCUUACCUACCCUUGACAUGCCAGGAACUUGCCAGAGAUGGCUUGGUGCCCGAAAGGGAGCCUGGACACAGGUGCUGCAUGGCUGUCGUCAGCUCGUGUCGUGAGAUGUUGGGUUAAGUCCCGCAACGAGCGCAACCCUUGUCGUUAAUUGCCAUCAUUUAGUUGGGCACUUUAACGAGACUGCCGGUGACAAACCGGAGGAAGGUGGGGAUGACGUCAAGUCCUCAUGGCCCUUAUGGGUAGGGCUUCACACGUCAUACAAUGGUCGGUACAAAGGGUUGCCAAGCCGCGAGGCGGAGCCAAUCCCAGAAAGCCGAUCGUAGUCCGGAUUGCAGGCUGCAACUCGCCUGCAUGAAGUCGGAAUCGCUAGUAAUCGUGGAUCAGCAUGUCACGGUGAAUACGUUCCCGGGUCUUGUACACACCGCCCGUCACACCAUGGGAGCGGGUUCCGCCAGAAGUAGGUAGCCUAACCGCAAGGGGGGCGCUUACCACGGCGGGGUUCGUGACUGGGGUGAAGUCGUAACAAGGUAGCCGUAGGGGAACCUGCGGCUG